rnacentral:rRNA from 1 species
UACGGAGGGGGCAAGCGUUAUUCGGAAUUAUUGGGCGUAAAGGGCGCGUAGGCGGCUUGGCAAGUGGAUGGUGAAAUCCCUCGGCUUAACCGAGGAACUGCCGUCCAAACUGCUUAGCUUGAGACCGGGAGAGGUGAGUGGAAUUCCCAGUGUAGCGGUGAAAUGCGUAGAUAUUGGGAGGAAUACCAGUGGCGAAGGCGGCUCACUGGACCGGUACUGACGCUGAGGCGCGAAAGCGUGGGGAGCAAACGGG